rnacentral:rRNA from 1 species
UUUAAUGGCUGCAGUAAUUUGACUGUACAAAGGUAGCAUAAUAAUUAGUUUUUUAAUUAAAAGCUUGUAUGAAAGGUUGGACGAAAUAAAAACUGUCUUUAUUUAAUUUAUUUUAGAAUUUAAUUUUUAAAUUAAAAAGUUUAAAUAUAUAUAAAAGACGAGAAGACCCUAUAGAGUUUUAUAUUUUAUUAUAUAUAAUUAAUUUAGAUUUAUUAAUUUUAUUUAUAAUAGUAUAUUUUAUUGGGGUAAUAUAAAGAUUAAAAUAAUUCUUUAAUUUUUAAUUUAUUAAUUUAUAUAUUUUUUGAUCCAUUAAUAAUGAUUAUAAGUUUAAAUUACCUUAGGGAUAACAGCGUAAUUUUUUUAGAGAGUUCAUAUUGAUAAAAAAGUUUGCGACCUCGAUGUUGGAUUAAAGGUUAAUUUAGGUGCAAAAGUUUAAAUAAUUUGGUCUGUUCGACCAUUAAAUCUUUACAUGAUCUGAGUUCAGACCGGUGUGAGCCAGGUCGGUUUCUAUCUUUAUAAAGUUAAUAUAUUUUAGUACGAAAGGACCAAAUAUUAAUUAUAAUAAUUAUAUUUUGAAUAUUAUUAAAUUAUUUUGGCAGAUUAGUGCAAUGAAUUUAGAAUUCAUGUAUGUAAUUAAAUUACAAGUAAUACUUGUUUUAUAUAGAUUAUAUUUUUUUAUUUAUUAUUAUAUUAUUAUUAAUUAUUUGUGUAUUAAUUGGGGUUGCUUUUUUAACUUUAUUAGAGCGUAA